rnacentral:tRNA from 1 species
GGGGGUAUAGCUCAGGGGUAGAGCAUUUGACUGCAGAUCAAGAUGUCCCUGGUUCAAAUCCAGGUGCCCCCU